AUUGAACGCUGGCGGCAGGCCUAACACAUGCAAGUCGAGCGGAUGAAGGGAGCUUGCUCCUGGAUUCAGCGGCGGACGGGUGAGUAAUGCCUAGGAAUCUGCCUGCUAGUGCUGGAUAACGUCCGGAAACGGGCGCUAAUACCGCAUACGUCCUGCGGGAGAAAGUGGGGGAUCUUCGGACCUCACGCUAUCAGAUGAGCCUAGGUCGGAUUAGCUAGUUGGUGGGGUAAAGGCCUACCUAGCCGACGAUCCGUAACUGGUCUGAGAGGAUGAUCAGUCACACUGGAACUGAGACACGGUCCUGACUCCUACGGGAGGCAGCAGUGGGGAAUAUUGGACAAUGGGCGAAAGCCUGAUCCAGCCAUGCCGCGUGUGUGAAGAAGGUCUUCGGAUUGUAAAGCACGUUAAGUUGGGAGGAAGGGCAGUAAGUUAAUACCUUGCUGUUUUGACGUUACCAACAGAAUAAGCACCGGCUAACUUCGUG
rnacentral:rRNA from 1 species